GGGCUUUGUCCUCUGGAACCUGGGAAGAUAAGGGUCAGAAUGAAAGAGAAACCUAAAUUUAGGGUGAGGCUCGCACUCAUUUGUGGAGGAAAAGAAAGGGUUAAAGGCUUACAUACAUGGAUUUGAAACGUGACGUUACUCUAGUCAUGUCUAAGUUGUCUAAGGGGUAGAUGCAUUAUUCGUUCUUAAUACUAUAUUAACAUUUGCAGGAAACUUUGUGAAAAUAUUAUGCUAGGUUUCAGGGCUAUAAAACAAUAUAACAUAAUUAAACUGUAAUGAAGCUACACAUAAACACAGAAGAAACAUACAAAUACAAGCGAGUAUACGCUGUAUGUCUCAGAGGGGUACUAUAGACUAUGUAUACCACAGAAGUUAAAAGUAGUUAAGACAAACCGGGCAGUGGUGGCACAGGCCUUUAAUCUCAGCAUUUGGGAAGCAGAGGUAGGCAGAUCUCUGAGUUUGAGAUCAGCCUGGUCUAGAGAGGGAGUUCCAGGGCAGCCAGGGCUGUUAAACAGAGGAACCCUGUCUUAAAAAACCAACUAAAAUAAAAUAAAAUAAUAAUUUUGCUGACUGCAGUAGCAAUGGAAUGCUUGAUGGAAGAGGCCUAGAGCAUGAACUUAAACAUGGCCUUAGAGGAUGAAAGGUGGAUUUGGACAAAAAGAAAGGAAGUACAUGUGAUCUUUGAGGGAACACAGAGACUUGUUGUAAGCAGAAGUUUUAUUUCUCCUAAAGUUUAUGUGACCUCGGUAAGACCUCAUCCAGCUAAAUUUCCACCUUAUGAAAAAGACUAAAGAAAAUCUUCAGCAAUGAAGAAAACCAUCAACAAUAGAAAGCUGAUGCAAAUGUAAUUGGACAGGGGACCGAGUUUCAACCCCAUCAAGCAGCAGAACUUGGCAGCUUUGGCCACUUGGUUCUGGCUUUAGAGUCAAGGAUAUAACAGAGGGGUUGUAAACUCUCCCUCCUCAGCUAAGGAAAGCUGCUAAGGCCAGGCAUGUAUGUGUCAGGGAUUUCCCUGCUUCAUAGUGAGAAACAGUUAACAAAAAACCAGGGCCAGGAGAUGGCUCAGUGGGCAAAGUGCUUUUUGCAUAAGCAUGAGGACCUGAGUUAAGAUCCCCAGAAUCCAUGUAAAUAUAAAAGUAAUAAAAAACCAAAAUUUAAGGGCCAGUGACAUGGGUCAAUGGGUAAAAGGCUCCUGCUUUGAAGGCUGAUGAUCCCUGGGACCAGCAUGGUGGAAGGAGAGAACUCCUCAAGUUGUUCUUUAGUCUGCAUACACGCUCAAGUAUAUGCUUGCAGACACACACACACAUUCUACAUUUUAAAAAAAACUAGGUGUAGUGGUAUGAAUUUGUAACCCCAAUGCUGGGGGACAAGGUAGAUACAGGAGGAUUUAGGACUUGAUGACAGUCUAGCUGGCACAACAAGCUUUAGGUUCAAUGAAAUACCCUGUCCAGAAAUAUAAGAUAGAUUGAAUAGAGGAGACAUUGACCUCUGACCUCUACAUACAUGUGCUUACAUACAUGCAUAUGCACAUUCACACACACAUACACCCCAAACAAAAUAAUUAGUUACUAUUAGAUUUGGGAUAAUUAGCUAUUUUCUUAUAAUCUGGGUAGAGAAGCAUUCUUAACUGACCCUUCAUAAAAUAUACAAGUGUCUGUUAUGGAGGACUAAUUGAAUAAAGUACAGUACAGAACAGAUGAAGAAAAUCCGGCAGUAUACAUGACCUUUCUGUGAAGGGCCUUACACAUAGUCAGCAGGUAUUCCUACCACCCAGCUACAGUCCCACCCUGUAAGACUUUCCUUUUAAAGCAAGAAGUAAACAAAAACAUUGGAAAGGAUUGAUUAUGUAAGAAAUUAAGGUGACUUAAAUUUCAUUGAAAACAGUGUGACCAAAGAAGUUAUGAUAGCUUUGACAUCUUACAUUAAUGACAUUGGGUAGCAAACCUUCAUGUACAAUCAUUGUUUAAGUCCUGGAAAUGUUGAAUAAGCUAGAACCAGGUGAGAGCUUCCAGUUUUAUUCAGGAUAGGUAGAUUUGCAAGGCUGCUUAAUAUAAAGGUGAGCAACUCUGGAAGACUGAGAUGUCGAUGCUGAAACAGAUGUAGCAUGCCCGAAUGUAGAGAGCAAAGGGUAUCGCCUGUGUGAGCCAUCCACCCCAGGGUUCCCCAGACAUGACUGACUGCUUGUGGAGUGACAAAGGCUUAGGGCCUGUGCCUAUGUCUGCAUAGCUUAUAUUUAUCAGUUGCAUCUGACACCAUAAGACAGCCAGAGCCAGAACAAACUGGGGCGGGUACUGGAGUUGGAAACCACAUGGACAAACAGAUCAUGGAGGAUGGGAAAAUACCUGUUCAUCCAUAGUUGCAAAUGUUAUACUGUGUAGAGUGGAUGGGGCUUCUCAGACUCUGAGUAGUGGUCCUUUAAGAGGCCCUUUACUGUGGGACUAUGUACACAAAUACUCAGAUGUACCUAAACAGUGAGCCCUGGAGAGGCACUGUUUUCAGUGAUAGUUUUGGGCAGAGACAGUCUUUUCAAGUGAUGAGUUCAGUUUGACCAAAGGAAACAGAACACUAAGAUUUGCUGGUUUCUGAACACCUUUUAUUUAUUUAUGAUCUGGGGACUGAAGCUGACCCUGUCCUUUUCAAAACAAUACCUUCUCGUUGCUCAUGACAAUGGCAGGCAAAAGGAGGUAAUUCUAGUUUUUGACCACUUGAAUCUCUUCUCACCUGACAUGGAAUGAAUCAGACAUCUUAAACUUAAUGCUGUUUGUGUAUUUAUAGUAAGUAUGAUGGAUUCAAAGUCUAGGUUUGCAUUAUAGCAGAGAACUGAGCUUCAUUAUUUCAGCCUUCUGGAAUGACUGUGUGGCCUGAAGCUAAAAGCAUGACUCAAUGGAUAUAUUAAGACUUCUAGAUGCUGGCAUACAGCUUGAGGGUAAAGUGCUUGCUUAUGAAUGCUCUAGGUUCUAUCCCCAAUACCAAAAAAAAAAAGAAAAAAUAUUUAAAUCCCACUGUACAACUGGGGUUGUAGCUCAGUUGAUAGAGUGCUUGCCUACCGUGCAUAAAACCCUGGAUAUGAGGUACAGCGCAGUGGCCAUGUCUGUAAUCUUAAUACUGGGAAAGGUGAAGGUAGUAGGAUUUAGACUUGAGAGUCAUUGUUGGCUUCAAGAAAGUUUGAGGCUGGUCUGGAAUGCUUGAGACCCUGUUUUUCAUUUUACUUUUAAAUUUUUAUUUAUGUGUAUGGGUGUUUUGUCUAUGUCUAUGUACCACAUGUAUGUCUGAUGUCCACAGAGGCCAGAAGAGGGCAUCAGAUCCCCUGGAACUGGAGUUACAAACACUUGUGAGCUGUCAUGUGGGUGUCUCUGGAAGAGUAGCCAGUACUCUUAACCACUGAGCCAUUUCUCCAGCCUCUGAAACACUGUCUUCUAAAAAAAGAAGGAAGAAAGGAAGGAAGGAGAGAGGGAGAGGAGGGGGAAAGAAAAAGGAAGGAAGGAAAGAAAGAAGGAAGAGAAGAGAAAAGAAAAAGCAAGAGAGGCAGCCGUGGUGGGGCACACUUUAAUCCCAGCACUUGGGAGGCAAGGGUAGACAGAUCUCUGUAAAUUGGAGGCCAGCUCGGUCUACAGAGCAAGGUCCAGGACAGCUACAGCGGUUAUACAGAGAAAUCCUGUCUUUGGGGCGGGGCAGGGGGAGGAGAAACUUGCAGGUAGCAGUCAGGUACUGUUUCUUGGAUGUACUUCAGAAGCUAGUGGCAGGACACUUCAGCACACACUUUGUUUUCAUAUUCAAAUCAUCCGGACAGCCCAUUACCAUCUGCUUAGCAGACUCAGUGCAAAAUUUUAGGAUUAAAAAUCCAGAAUUAUUCAUUGUAGAGAAACUGCUGCUGGAUUGAAACCGUGUGUUUCAGACCUUCUGCCUCACCCACUUUUCCAUUUCUCCCCUUUCUGAGUAUAAGUUUCUCAACUGUUUGGAGAAUUUGGAAAUACAGCCCUUUGUAUACUCAGAUUUCAUGUGCGGGAAUCAAGGAAACCACCAAGAAAAACCUUUCCUUAAGACACUGUUUUCAGGUGGCAAGGUACUGAGAGACUGGAAGCUGCAGCUGAAAGCUUUUCAGCACUGAAAAAGCGUCAAAGUCUUGUCUUUUCUGAGAAGCCAGGGAGCUUUGUCUCAGUUCAUGCUGCUAGCAUUCCUGAGAUGUAAUUGCUGUUCCCAGCAUAGACAGCACCUGGGUUACACAUUGCCAGCUGGAAAGGAGUCCAAAGCACCCCUCUCCCAGUACUGCUGCUUUUUCUGAACAGACAUCUGCUCACUUAAGAGAACGAACGUUCAACUCUGUAAUUUCAGGCAGCCCAGAAUUGCAUUUACUAAAUUGUACUAAGGACCAGAGGGGAAAAAAAGCAAAUCUUUGUCCAAGACUUUACCUUGAUCUUUUUCUUCUUUUUCCAAACUAGCUUUCACAGCCUUGUUCUUCAGCAGUCUGAAUCCCAAGGCAAAAGUGAAAUAAAAACUCUUUACAUUUCAUACCAAAUUUAAAAAGAGAAAACAGAGAGAGGAGUACCUGGAUUUUACUGUGGAACCUGGCUAUUAAUAGGCAGCUAAAUAUCCACAUUUAAUAAGAAGGUGACCCUGCAUUAAUAUCUGGAAACUAGAGAGUUUGAACCUAUUCUAUAAGUCUCAAGAUUAGAAGUAAUAAUUCUACAUUAUAAAAAUAAGCAAUUCAAGUUGAAUGGUGGUGGCGCAGGCCUUUAAUCCCAGCACUCAGGAGGCAGAGGCAGGUGGAUCUCUGUGAGUUCAAGGCCAGCCUGGUCUACAAGAGCUAGUUCUAGGACAGGCUCCAAAGCUACAGAAAACCCCCUAAAAAUAAUAAUAAUAAUAAUAAUAAAAAAUAAAUAAGAUCAGAGGACAGCUAACUAUGGAUUCUCUCCCUCAAUCAUGUAGGUUCCAGGAAUUGGACUCCAGCAUGGUGGGAAGUGCCUUUACCCACUGAGCCAUCUCAGUAGCCCCAGUGUAACACAUUUUCUUAGCAGCUUUCACUGUCUUCUCACCAAGGGAUAUCUCUGGAUAGUUGGAUUUGGAGAUUAGGUAAAGGUGACUUCUGGAAAAAUUACUGACUCUUCUUAGGAAGUUUGAUAAGAUCUCCUUUAAGAUUUAAAAAUACUUACGUACUGUUUUAUGGUGCUAUUUAAAAUAGGAACAGCCUUAAAGAAUAAUAUUUAUUUUAGGUUUUUCCAUAGUCAGGAAUGGAGUAAAAGAGUAGGUUGUGUUUCUAUAGUACUGAAAAAAAAAAAAAAUAGCGUAUCCCAAGUUCCCUAGCUGAGACUGCCAGCAAGAA